CCCGAGAGAUCGGGCGUUCCCCUUCGGGGGACAGGGUGACAGGUGGUGCAUGGUUGUCGUCAGCUCGUGUCGUGGGAUGUUGGGUUAAGUCCCGCAACGAGCGCAACCCUCGACCUUAGUUGCCAGCAUUCAGUUGGGCACUCUAAGGUGACUGCCGGCUAAAAGUCGGAGGAAGGUGGGGAUGACGUCAAAUCAUCAUGCCCCUUAUGACCUGGGCUACACACGUGCUACAAUGGGCGGUACAAAGGGUCGCGAACCCGCGAGGGGGAGCCAAUCCCAAAAAGCCGCUCUCAGUUCGGAUUGCAGGCUGCAACUCGCCUGCAUGAAGCCGGAAUCGCUAGUAAUCGCGGAUCAGCAUGCCCGCGGUCCGAAUACGUUCCCGGGCCUU
rnacentral:rRNA from 1 species